rnacentral:rRNA from 1 species
GAUGAACGCUGGCGGCGUGCCUAAUACAUGCAAGUCGAGCGAACAGACGAGGAGCUUGCUCCUCUGACGUUAGCGGCGGACGGGUGAGUAACACGUGGAUAACCUACCUAUAAGACUGGGAUAACUUCGGGAAACCGGAGCUAAUACCGGAUAAUAUAUUGAACCGCAUGGUUCAAUAGUGAAAGACGGUUUUGCUGUAACUUAUAGAUGGAUCCGCGCCGCAUUAGGUAGUUGGUAAGGUAACGGCUUACCAAGGCGACGAUGCGUAGCCGACCUGGGAGGGUGAUCGGCCACACUGGAACUGAGACACGGUCCAGACUCCUACGGGAGGCAGCAGUAGGGAAUCUUCCGCAAUGGGCGAAAGCCUGACGGAGCAACGCCGCGUGAGUGAUGAAGGUCUUCGGAUCGUAAAACUCUGUUAUUAGGGAAGAACAAAUGUGUAAGUAACUAUGCACGUCUUGACGGUACCUAAUCAGAAAGCCACGGCUAACUACGUG